CCCAAUCUCCCCUCGAUCCCUCGCGCCGCCGCCGCCCCCGGCCCUGACCCCGCGCGCCCCCGCCCCGCCCCUGACCUCACGCGUCGCCGCCGCUGCCCCGACAACCCAAGGCGCCGCCGCCCCAAGAUGGGAAGGCAGCCGCCGCCGAGAAAGAAGCUCCGGGAAGGGCGGAAGAUGGGCACUGUGGCCGCCGGCGAGGAAGAAGAUUCGGGCGGAGAGGAAGAUGGCGACGGAUGCCGCGGACGAGCAAGGAGGGGAGGCGGCGGAGCGGUCGCCUCAUCUCCCUGUCCUGCGGCACUCCGGCGGCUGGAGCAAGGUAAGGCAGAGCACGGGACUAGGAGCGGCUGGAGGAGCUGAGUUUGGGCCCGUUCCGCAGCUCACCGGCGGAGAAGACCACGGCGGUGCUGGUCGGGUGACCACACUCGCCUCCUCUCGCGCUGCUCGUGGUCUCCAUCAAGCACGCACAAAAAAGACGGGCUGCAGGCAGUGAGAGGGACAGGAUUCGCCUCUAUCAAUGGAAUUCUUCCCCACGCAACUUAUCUGAACUGCUCCACCCCUACGCCUUCUUCCUCAUGCAGCAGGCAGUGCAGAUGUACGUAUUCUGAAUUUUGAAUCUUGUCUCCUGAACUACUCCUCGCCGCCACCACACCUGGAACCGGUUGUCGGUCAAUAGAAGGCUGUCUGUGUCCAUGCUCCGCUGAUCACCAAGUCGCACCCUCUGUACGUGGAGGAUGCCUUUAUUCUUUAUUUUGGAAAAUCUGAAAUUCUGAAGCAACCGUAUUGGUUUCACACAGGCACCAUCUUGGUAUUAACCAAAUCGAACAUCAACAAAAUAAAAGCAGACUACAAAGAUACUAAUGUGAACCUGUGUGCAUUAUAUAGAAAUUUUGGUUGUUAUUCCUUGUAGUUUUUAUCUUCCGAUACAUGUACAGAACUCAUGUUUUUCCUAUAGUAUUCAUCUUCCUGUACACGUGCAGCAUUGAUGCAGGGAAGAACAUCAUAUGGAAGACAGGCUCCAUUCAGUCAAUUUUUCAAAAAUACCAUAUGUAUACACAGAAGUUCGGCCUGGACAACCGCUUCAGUUCGAUGUCUGCACAGUGCAGCUUUGUUAUGCUCUUUUCAUGAUCAAACAAAAGCAUGUUGUUGUUUGUGUAGAUUUGUGUGCAUAAAGGUCAGAAAUAUAAUGGAGAAGGAGCAUGUAUGCGUGUGUGUGGUGGUGAGUUUUUUUUUUUUGCGGGGACUGGUGGUGAGGUUGACGUUCAAAAAAUGUGUGGUGAGGUGGUUUAGAAAAACAUGUGUGUGAUGGAGAAAUUCACUAGCAUUUUUAAUUGGGACACAAGUAAUAGCUUCUUUUGUGCAAACACAAGACAAAAAAUGCAUGUGUCUUUUAGUAAGAGAAAUAAAACAAAUGUUCAACGAUCUUCCCAUGAAAGUUAAUGCAUAUGAAAAAAGGAAAUUUGGAAGGUCAGGGGUGACGAACAGAGAAGUUCAUGUAUGAGUGUUGAGGAAAUGCUCAAGAAAAAAGAUAACACUGAAACACACAUGGAAAAAACAAAAAGAAAAGAAAAAGAAGGUCAGAUUAAGUUAAUCGAGACGUUCGAUGUUUAUGUAGCUAGAGGAAAACCUAAAAAAUGGUAACUCUGAAAGUUCAGAUUUAAAUAAAUUUUAAAGUUCGAAAAAAUUGAGAAAAAAAAGACACAUAGUUGUACAAGGAUUUUCCCCUGUUAAAAAAAACAAAAGGUUCAAAUUAAAUUAACAUAGCUAUUCGAUGGUUGUAAGAAAAAAAUAUUUUGUACGUUUCUAGAAAACCCAAUAAGGUCAAAUAAAAAAUGAAGUAGUUCGAAAAGAGUUAAAAAUGAAUUUCCCCCCAUUUAAAAAACACUAAAAGUUCAAAUAUAAAUAAUGGAGCGAUUGUUAUUAUUUAAACAAAAACGCUUGAGAGAAUUAUUUGUGCAAAGUGUGCAUGUUACAUUGGUGCUUGUUGUAAUCCGAAAAUUCAUUGAAAACAAGUAAAGUUCGUAUGUUUAAAAAAGCCUUAGAAAGCAAAAUGAAAAAACAAAAAAAAUGCUUGCGAGUUCUUUGCAAAAACCACAUGAAGUUCAAUAAGUAUAAUUUUUAGAGGUCAAAGUAAUAUGAGAACGCUGGAAGUUUGUAGAAGAAAAAUGCCGGCGGUGCAGUUGUUGUCAGCUACAUUGGUCGGAGCCCCUACUCCUCCAAGAAUCUGGCCAACCGCGCACCGCCGACAUGGAUUCGCACUAACAAGUUGAAAUUAAAAUAACAUAGAAGUUUGAAGUAUAUAAAAAACUCAAAUUUGUUGCAAGAAGUUCAAGUGCACCUCCGUGCAUGGUUCAAAAUUUAUAUCGUGGAACAUCCGACCUCAAAUUACAUGUUUUUAAAGGGCAAAAAAAUGCGACGUAUACACAAAAAUGUGACAUAAGUUCAUCGCGAAAACAACGAGAAGUUCAAGUACGGCAAGGAAUGCAUUUCAGGUGAGAAUAAAAAGUAUAGAAAAAUAAAAACUUAAAAUGUUUGUUGAAAAAAGUUGAAGUGCUCUGUCCGGUGAAGUUCAAAAAUUCUUGGGAGAGAGGUUCACCUUGUAUUUCCAUGUUCAAAAACACAAAAAAGAAAUUGUUUUUUGUGUUUAAAAAUAAUUCUCUCAAUCCUCAAAGAAGUUCAAUUAUUAUUUGGGACCAAUUUGAUUUCAAAAAGAAAAUAAAAAAUUCAAAUUAUUAAAAUGGGAAAAGUUCAUGUACUACAUGGUGUGUGUUUAAUAUGAGAAAACUGAAUUAAAAGGCAAGGUCCAAAUUAAAAAAAAAA